rnacentral:rRNA from 1 species
CCUACGGGUGGCAGCAGUGAGGAAUAUUGGUCAAUGGGCGAGAGCCUGAACCAGCCAAGUCGCGUGAGGGAAGACGGUCCUACGGAUUGUAAACCUCUUUUGUCAGGGAGCAAGGAGCGCCACGAGUGGUGCGGCGAGAGUACCUGAAGAAAAAGCAUCGACUAACUCCGUGCCAGCAGCCGCGGUAAUACGGAGGAUGCGAGCGUUAUCCGGAUUUAUUGGGUUUAAAGGGUGCGCAGGCGGAGGUGCAAGUCAGCGGUCAAAUUGCGGGGCUCAACCCCGUACUGCCGUUGAAACUGCAUCCCUUGAGUGCGCGAGAAGUAUGCGGAAUGCGUGGUGUAGCGGUGAAAUGCAUAGAUAUCACGCAGAACUCCGAUUGCGAAGGCAGCAUACCGGCGCGCAACUGACGCUCAUGCACGAAAGCGUGGGUAUCGAACAGGAUUAGAUACCCUUGUAGUC